rnacentral:rRNA from 1 species
CGCGGCCUAUCAGCUUGUUGGUGCGGUAGUGGCGUACCAAGGCGAUGACGGGUAGCCGGCCUGAGAGGGUGAUCGGCCACACUGGGACUGAGACACGGCCCAGACUCCUACGGGAGGCAGCAGUGGGGAAUUUUGCGCAAUGGACGAAGGCCUGACGCAGCGACGCCGUGUGGGGGAGGACGGCCUUCGGGUUGUAAACCUCUUUCGGCCCUGACGAAUGUGACGGUAGGGGCUAAAGAAGCGCCGGCUAACUACGUGCCAGCAGCCGCGGUAAUACGUAGGGCGCGAGCGUUGUCCGGAUUUACUGGGCGUAAAGGGCUCGUAGGCGGUUUGUCGCGUCGGUCGUGGAAAUGUCUGGCUUAACUGGGCACGUGCGGCCGAUACGGGCAGACUCGAGGGCGGUAGGGGCAAGCGGAAUUCCUGGUGUAGCGGUGAAAUGCGCAGAUAUCAGGAGGAACACCGAUGGCGAAGGCAGCUUGCUGGGCCGUUCCUGACGCUGAGGAGCGAAAGCGUGGGUAGCGAACAGGAUUAGAUACCCUGGUAGUCCAUGCUGUAAACGUUGGGCGCUAGGUGUGGGGACCAUUCUUGGUGUCCGUGCCGUAGCUAACGCAUUAAGCGCCCCGCCUGGGGAGUACGG